GCAGGGGGGAGGGAGAACGGGGAAUGUCACGUGACUGCCAUUUCGUCAAGCUAGAUGUAUACUGUACUGACUUUUUCCCUGAUAAGGCCAGAUUGUAUUAUUAUUAUUUUCAGUUAUGUGUUUCUCUCCUUCUCUGUCUUAUUCUCCCCCCUCUUCCGCGCGGUUUGUUUCUGUUUAUUCUGUUUAUUUCUCCUCUCUGCUUCUGGUCGUUAGUUGCCUUACUGUUCUGUGUUCGCGCCCUCUCCUGGUUGUUCCACUUUAAGGUCUGCGAAGCGUUGGAGACUUAAUUUGUACAUAUUGUCCAUUCCAUUUGAGGAAAUACCUGAUAAACAAGUCACUUUUAAGGUUGUCUGAGCAUAAAGCCUGUAUGCUCAGCAUGGGAAUGAUUUGACAGUGCUGUGACAAAGAUCUAAAAAAACCUCUGGGGUAUUUUCCUUGUGUGCAUGUACACUGUCUGCUUAAAUGGACAACACGCCAGUCUUAUUCAAGAUUUUGAGUUUUAUAUUCAAGUCUCAUUCUACAGCCUUGGGAAGAAAUUUCCAAGCUCUACUGUGAAUGCCUGCAAGAAAAUGGAUCUCAAAAUAGUAUAUGCAGUUCGCCUGUGAACAGAGCCAUCAUUCGCGCACGGCUGAGUGCAGGACCAAUCAGCGGAGACUAAUUCCUCUCUGGCCCCAGCAACAGCAGCGUUACGGACCAAUGAAAACACCCGUGUUAAAGUUAAAGCAUUGCUCUGCCCACUUCCAUGCAAAGCAAGCCAGGAUAAUUAUUUUGUCAUUCUAAACCGAAUGUUCCGAACACUUCUGUAUUUCCUAACGCCCUUAAAAUGUAUUAGCUUCAUACUUACGAUUAUGUUUGGUAUUUAUAUGUACUUUUUUGUGGAGAGGUUCUGCAUUUCAUGUGAUCCAAAACGAUGAAGCUGUUGCUAACUUCUCCCACAUGUGAUCUGAAAAGGAUUUUGUGGAGCUGUAGCAAAAACCUCAUGCUUGGUUUCCAUUAGCCAAUACCCUUCUUCAUUUUUGUACCAGUUCAAUGAUUGUGUACAUGGAAUUUCUAUUUAGUUAACGCCAUUCCCACCUUUUCAUGUUUAAAAAAAUUCAUAUUCUUUAAUGUUUUGCUUCAUGUUUGCUUCCAUUUUUUUUCAUAGUCAUACAGCACAGAAACAAAUCCUUCAGCUGAACAGGCCCAUGUUGUUAAUGUACCUGCCUGAGCCAUUUUCUCUUAGACAGGUACAUGGGCUGAGGCAUAAUAAUCAGGUUUAAUUCAGAUUCGUGUAAGGUGUUCAUAUUUUGGGAAUACAAAUGAGGAUAGGACUUUUACAGCAAUGAUGAGUCUUUGAGGAUUGUUGUAGAACAGAGAGACUGUGCAGCACAAGUAUGUGGUUCCCUGAAAAUGGCAUUGCAGAUAGACAGGAUGGUGAAGUAGGCUUUCGGCACACUGACCUUCAUCAGUCAGGGCAUUGAAGGGUCAGUGUUGGAAAGUGUGAGCAGCUUUAAGAUCCUGUGCGUCAACAUCUCAGAGGACCUGUCCAGGGUCCAAUACAUGGAUGCGAUCAUGAAGAAGGCAUGCCAGAAGCUCUGUCUCAUAAGAAGUUUGAGGAGAUUCAGUAUAUUACCAAAAGACUUAAAAAUGUCUAUAUAUGUACAGUAGGGAGCAUUCUAACUGGUUGCACUGCAGUUUGGUAUGGAGGCUCUAAUGCAUAGGAUUGCAAGAGGCUGCAGGGGGUCAUAGACUCACUCUGCUCCAUUAUGGGCAUACCCUUCCCACCAUUGCAGAUAUCUUCAAGAAUAGCAUCCAUCACUAAGGAC